rnacentral:rRNA from 1 species
AUUGAACGCUGGCGGAAUGCUUUACACAUGCAAGUCGAGCGGCAGCGCGGGGGCAACCCUGGCGGCGAGCGGCGAACGGGUGAGUAACAUAUCGGAACGUACCCCGUCGUGGGGGAUAACACAGCGAAAGCUGUGCUAAUACCGCAUACGACCUGAGGGUGAAAGCGGGGGAUCGCAAGACCUCGCGCGAUGGGAGCGGCCGAUAUCGGAUUAGCUUGUUGGUGAGGUAAAGGCUCACCAAGGCGACGAUCCGUAGCUGGUCUGAGAGGACGACCAGCCACACUGGAACUGAGACACGGUCCAGACUCCUACGGGAGGCAGCAGUGGGGAAUUUUGGGACAAUGGGGGCAACCCUGAUCCAGCCAUUCCGCGUGAGUGAAGAAGGCCUCGGUUGUAAGAC